AGCCGGGGGAACUCGUGCUCCCGGAGGUGGCGGAGCUGGCCGUCGUAGCCGUAGCCGUACCCGGCGGGGCAGGUGGCCUGGAAGGCGCGGAAGGAGAGCAGCUGCCCCCCGGCCAUGCCGCGGGCUGCAGGCGGGAAGGGGCAGGGGGGUGGGGAGGAAAGCCUGACCAAAACAGCGGCGCGACUGCCCCCGGGCAGCGGAGCCUCCCCGCCGGCAGCGCUGCGGACGGGCACUGCCGCCGGGCAGGCACUGCCACCGGCCCGGCCCGGCCCGGCCCGGCCCCGCCGCGCCUCGCUCCUCCCGCCUCCCGCCCCUGCGGCUGUCCGCGCCCCGCCUGCCCGGGGCCAGGGGCCGGGCAGAGCCCGCAGCGGUCCGGCUGCGGCUGAGGAAGGGCUUCGGACCCGAAGAGGGAGGCGGUGGGCGCCAUGUGCGGUGCCGUGGCCCGGCCGGGCCCGGUCGCUGGCUGCGGCCGGCGUUGGCGGGCGCGGUGGUCGCUCCGCCGCUCUUUGAGGUGGAUGGAGCCCCAGAGGGGCCCCGGGCCUGGCAGCGCUAAAACCGGAGCCCACUCGGCUGCAGCGUGGCCUCCUGCCGGCGCCCGGCCGCGGGCGGCGGCGCCCGCGGAUCCCCGAGCCCAGGGGCCCGAGCAGGGCCAGCCCGACGGCAAGCGUCCCGAAGCACAGGGGCAUCGGGUUUGGGUCCGCGGGAGCAAGCGUGCCUCUGCUCACAUCCUCUCCUAUUGAGGCACGCUGUUUAAAAUAGGGAUAGCUGAUGGAAAUCUCUUCCCUAAAAUUUUCAAGUUUAAUGCUCAAAUUUCUUCAUUUCCUCUAAAUGGUGCCCCUUCCACCGCUGCUAAUAGGCAGUGGGAGUCCCUUUCUCACGCCAUGCAUUUGGUGUAGGAUACUCUUCCAUGGUACCACUACAUGAUACUGUGUAUCCUACGUAGCAGUAUCAUAGCGGAGGUACACAGCGUACUAACACAGUGCAAGUACUCCUCCGCCAUGGGUACAUAGGGAUACACCCUGUGUAUGGUACAGGAUACUCCAACAUGCUUAACUGGCUCUACUGGCCAUAGAUGCCAUAUGGGCAAUGUAUAGAAAGGACCACGGCUGGCCAAAAGGUUAAGGAGUGGUAUUGGCUUGUUGCCAGGUGUAGAGAUAACAUCAGCCAUCCAUGUAAAAGCAUUUGCUUUGUAGGAUAAACUAUAACCAUACGCAUACACAAAAAAAAACCAACCCAUAGCCAAAGGAACGUUUUGGGAAGGGGUUGGGCUUUGUUUUGUUUUCUCAUUACAAAAAAUAAUUUUUUCCUGACAUACUAUUUGUAAUGAAUUUUUCUACACACAGCUCUGCAAUCUGCAGAGAGUUAAAUGACCCCCCAGUCCAGUAAUAAAAUAAAACUGCACGUGUUAGGAUGGAUCUGCCUCUGAAUUCUGGUGCCAAAAACAGACGAAAUACAAGGACAUUGUCAUAUCAUCUGCAAAACCCCCUGCUUCACUUUGGUGUGCUAUAUCAAGGUGAACAAAACACCUCUGUCGAGAAAGAAUGGUUGCCAUCAAGUGGAGGGAUGUUUUUAGCUGAUCUCCUGAAGUCACUUUUUUUUUAAAACCACAGCCCUGCACAUAAAUUUUUUUAGUUUAAUAAUUUAUACACUGCAAUUUAGAAGGGCCUAUCCCAUCACUAUGACUUCUUUUUUUUUACUGCAAGUAUAUGUAGAAAAUACCCACCGUGGAUUUUUCCUCAUAUUUCUAGUUUCCUAUUAUCAGUUUCCAGAGCAAUUUAUUUAUAUUGAUCGCUAUGCGUAGUUCCCACACCAUUUUCAUAUAUUGUGUAUGUCAAAUAGUUGUUUUCACUUCCUUAUUGAACCAAGAGUUGUUUUCCCCACCAAAACAGUCCUUUUUCUUGAUGACAGAAUGCAGCUUUCUGAUCUUACAAUAAAUUCUUUCUAAAGAUCUAAUUUCCAUUCACAUUUUUAUAUAAAAAUGUUUCCUCACAGUCAAUUUCCGUCUUUUUUUUUUCUUUUUACUCCUGGUUUUGGAAGAGUAGCCCUUUGGAAGCAACACACACAUGGAGAUAGUGCUAAUUGGGAAUGUGCUCUGUUUGCACAUUGCAUGUAAUCUGGUGAUGAUCACUGAUCCCCGGGGAUUUACCAGUUUCCAGCACAGGACGUAGCUCACCUUCAUCCAUCAUAAAGGCUGACCAGAUUCUUCUAAAAAACAAGAGUCAUUUAGGUCAUUCUCUGUCACUAUAGACGUUUUUGUGUUUGAAAAUUAGCAUAACUUGUAAAAACUAACUAGGUUGUACUGCUGGCUCUAUUUCUGAGGUAAAAGCUGGAGAUGUCACGGAAUUUCCGCAUGAAACCGUAGUUUUUCCAUCUGCACAUUGCAGGUUCAUAGUUACAGAGUAACUUUUCCUCUUCUCUGGUUAUCAGGUGAAGCCUGGGGAUCAGUCCAUGUAAGCG